AUGUUGCUUGUGUGGCCGGUGUGAAUGUGACCGGGGGCUUGGCAGGGGUGAUGGGAGGCUUGGCAAGGGUGGCAGGGGGGCGAGGUACAGAAAAUACCCCCCGGCGUACAUGCCCUCAAAACUGCAGGAGAUGGAGGACAGCGGGGAGAUGAAGGAAUUUGAGUAGCGGGCGGUCCGAGUGGCCCACAGCACCCACACCACCUCCGUACUCCACCACCCGCUUGUCAGGAAAUUCACCAACCACAUCAUGAAAACAGGAAACAAACCUCUGGCCAGGGAACUUGUCGAGAAGGUCAAAGGUCACAACUAGCCAGCCGGGAGUGGGUCAGGAUGGCACGGCUGGCUGUGGUGGUGGUGGUGGUGGUAUUGGUGUUGGCGGCAGCAGCGGCGGGAAGGCCAGACUACACGCUGUCCCAAAAAUUUAUUGAAAUGUUGCAGAGUGAACAGUCCGCUUGGAAGAUUGUGUUAAGAUAUGGAGAAACAGACCAAAGGAACAGGAGGAGGAGGAGGAGGAAAGAGAUAUGAG
rnacentral:lncRNA from 1 species